CACCUACUGAUGAGUCCUAUUCACACAUCCAUAUUAUAAUACUUUGUUACCAAUUUCUAUUAAUUCCAGAUUUUGAUCUUUUACAACCUUACUACCACCUAUAUAAUUAACAUUUUGCAAUAAUUUUCCCCUGAAACAUGCAUAAUAAAACAGUACCUAUAGUCUGACCUAUAGUCUAACGAAUGCCAUUAAACACGUAUUAUAUCAAUAACUGCAUUAAACAGUUUCUAAUCAUUAUUCAUUCAAAACCAUUUUUUUAUACCACUGUCUCAUACCCAACUUAUUAUAGUAUACUGUUGUCCAUCCGUCCAUCAUCCACACUUCAGACAAUUAAUAGAAAACACUUCCC
rnacentral:lncRNA from 1 species